AUCUCAGAUGUUGUAUGAUGAUCAUUGUGUAGGUUUGAGAGAGGAUUUCUGCUUAAAUCUGUUUGAGUAUGUGCCCCAUUUAAUCUGACUGAGCAGGGCAAAUGGAGUUCAUCUAAAGACAUCCUGACCAUUGAUCCCUCUUACAUGACUAAUUACCUAAAUCUGAUUGGUGUGAACAUGCUGCGUGCCAUUCAUCUGAAUUCAUCUGGUUCUGCCUUGAAAGCUCUGUCUGUGAUCCCAUCCCUCAACUACGGUGCAUGUGAAACAAAGAACAGCUGCUCCUCGUUGCACCAUGUUUUGGAUGUAUGCACCAUUCCAUGGCCUACAAAGUAGAUCCCCAGGACAAAAGCUCAGGAAGCCUCGGGUCCCACAGGAGCCGGGCUGACCAGCGCCAUCGGCACUUGACGAGCUUGUCAGCCGCAUGCAGAGGGCCAGCUUCUUUUCUUAUCAUCAGGAAGUUGUCAGGUG